rnacentral:rRNA from 1 species
UGGGGAAUAUUGGACAAUGGGCGAAAGCCUGAUCCAGCAACGCCGCGUGAGGGAUGACGGCCUUCGGGUUGUAAACCUCUUUCAGCAGGGACGAAGCGAAAGUGACGGUACCUGCAGAAGAAGGACCGGCCAACUACGUGCCAGCAGCCGCGGUAAUACGUAGGGUCCGAGCGUUGUCCGGAAUUAUUGGGCGUAAAGGGCUCGUAGGCGGUUUGUCGCGUCGGGAGUGAAAACUCAGGGCUCAACCCUGAGCGUGCUUUCGAUACGGGCAGACUAGAGGUAUGCAGGGGAGAACGGAAUUCCUGGUGUAGCGGUGGAAUGCGCAGAUAUCAGGAGGAACACCGGUGGCGAAGGCGGUUCUCUGGGCAUUACCUGACGCUGAGGAGCGAAAGCAUGGGGAGCGAACAGGAUUAGAUACCCUGGUAGUCCAUGCCGUAAACGUUGGGCGCUAGGUGUGGGGACCUUCCACGGUCUCCGUGCCGCAGCUAACGCAUUAAGCGCCCCGCCUGGGGAGUACGGCCGC